UGGGGAAUAUUGCACAAUGGGCGCAAGCCUGAUGCAGCCAUGCCGCGUGUAUGAAGAAGGCCUUCGGGUUGUAAAGUACUUUCAGUCGGGAGGAAGGUGGUAAGGUUAAUAACCUUAUCAAUUGACGUUACCGACAGAAGAAGCACCGGCUAACUCCGUGCCAGCAGCCGCGGUAAUACGGAGGGUGCAAGCGUUAAUCGGAAUUACUGGGCGUAAAGCGCACGCAGGCGGUUGAUUGAGUCAGAUGUGAAAUCCCCGGGCUUAACCCGGGGAUUGAAUCUGAUACUGGUCAGCUAGAGUCUUGUAUAGGUGGGUAGAAUUCCAUGUGUAGCGGUGAAAUGCGUAGAGAUGUGGGGGAAUACCGGUGGCGAAGGCGGCCCCCUGGACAAAGACUGACGCUCAGGUGCGAAAGCGUGGGGGGCAAACAGG
rnacentral:rRNA from 1 species